AAUACAAGUUAACCUUUUGAGAGAUUUUUGACCAAGUGUAUCAUAAUAAAUAUCUCAGCCGUAUGUCAAUCGAUUUGAGUUCUCUUAGCACCAAAUGAAAGCUACAGUAUCCUGGUGAAAGGCCCUGAAAAUUUUAUUUUGAUUGGACAUUUGGUUACUGAGAUAUCUUUUGAAGAGUAUUUCAAUAAAUUCCUUUUCUACCCUUCUUACACCCAUAAGAAGGGUAUAAAUACCGCUCGAAAAACCGACUUCCGACCCGAGGCCCGCAGGGCCGAGUCUCAUAUACCAAUCGACUCAGCUCGACGAACUGAGCAAAUGUCUAUGUGUGUAUGUAUGUGUGUGUGUAUGUGUGUGUGUGUGUGUGUGUGUGUGUGCGUAUGUUACAAAAAAAAGUCACGCACUUUUCUCAGCCGUCUGAUAUCCGAUUUGGAUCCUCUUAGUUGCAAAUGAAAGCUACAACAUCCUAGUAGAACCCUAUUGAGUUUUAUCACGAUCGGACAUUUGGUUACCGAGAUAUCUUUCGAAGAGUACUUUGAAGUAAUAUAGGUUAGCUUUUUGAGAGAUUUUUGACAUAUAGCAUAUUGAUAAAUAUCUCAGCCGUCUGUCAACCGAUUUUGGUUCUCUUAGCACCAAAUGAAAGCUACAACAUCCUAGUAGAAUGCUCUGAAAUUUUAUUUCGAUUGGACAUUUGGUUACUGAGAUAUCUUUCUGAUAGCAGAGUAAACUCGACUGGUCGGUUAGAGGAGCGAACAAAGAAUGAUUUAUUUCUACAUAGAAAAAGCAAGGCUUACUAUGCUAACAUCCCCCCAAAAGCCUAAAUUUGCAAACCCCAAGUUUCGUCUUAUCUUCAAUAUGCUUCGGACCCGCUAAUGGUUUUGUAAGGAUGUCCGCCGCCUGAAGAUCUGACGCCACGUAUUCCAACUUGAUGGUUUUAGCUUCGACCUGUUCCCGGACAUAGUGGUGCCUGAUGUCCAUGUGCUUGCUACGUGCUGAGCAGUGUUGAAAAUUUCAUUUCGUCAUAUCUUAAUUCAACCAGCUACAGCUCCUUUUAGAAGCUGAACCUGAGAAUAUGGUAUAUGAAGUCACGGAAAAACCGCUAUUUUUCGAAUAUUUAGGAUAAAUGUCACGGACUACCUAUGAAAAAUGCCAAAUGAUAUUCACCGUGAAACUAACAAUAUGUUAAAUGAAAGCUUUGAAUUUAUAUAUUGUGGGAAAAAUGCAAGAACCAGACAGCCAAAAUAACUAGCUAAUGCCAAAACUGAUUAACUUAGUGGAUAUAUCAUUUUUGUCGUUUUUACACCAUAACCAUGAAUACCAAGUACUUCGGAGCUAAUUUAAUUGACUGAUUAAGAUAUAUUAGAUAAAGUGUACCUCGCUGAUUUUCUUACCUAUUUGUUAAUCGAUUCAAGAUCUUUUGGCAGUUAAUAAAAGAUACAAUAUUCCAGAAUAUGUAAGCUAUUUUUUAAACAUUCCAUACAAGACUCUAGGAAGUGUCUGGCAUUUCUGGUAGUUUAGUCCAUGGUCCAUGGUGCUAUUUUGGAAACCAAUCCACUAGAUGCCAAAUCCACAAUAUUUUCUAGAACUUUUGGUCAAUUACAGAAAAUAAAUAUGUUAAAUACAAAUGAUACAACAAUAAUUUUAAUAAGUGUAAGAAGGGUUCUGUUCACCAUAGGUGGAUUAAAUCGGGUUUUAUUAUUAUAUUCGUUUGUUAUCUUGCAUGAGCUUUUGACCAGUCUAUGGGAAAUUAUUGUUCAAUCAAUAAUGCUGACCUCAUAUAAAGUGUAUAUGUUGGCACAGCUCAGUACCACUCUUCGACAGCGCAACCAGGGUGCAACAUGUUGUCCACAACAGGACGAGACAACACCGGUUGAUGGAUGAACCGUGAGCAGAACAUAGAUGUCAGAAGGUAUGUUGGGGAGAGAAAAAGUGAGAAAGCGAAAGGUAAAUAAAACCAUAAACAAAAUAGAAAACGGUUCAGAAUAGGCAUUGAAGGAAAAGUAUAGUUCAUGUUGAAUUUGAAUAUUUGAAGUUGCUGCGAAUAGUAGAAAAAGUAAUAGUUUGAGAGAUAUAAAGUUGUGUAUUAGCGGUUCCAAAGCACAAUUCGAGGCAGAUCAGGAUUCGUUGAAGGCACCCGACCGUGAGCCGCCAUACCUAUAGGGAAAAGCGGGAUAUUAUAAGAAAACUAUAAAAUGUAAGUAGAUAAUAGAUGUAGCGAAAAAGAAACAUUAGUAAUGUUAAAAUUUGUUUAUCCUCUUUGUUUAAUGGAAUAAUAAAUAGUUUCAAGCUG